GACAGAGGGUGCAAACGUUGUUCGGAAUUACUGGGCGUAAAGCGUGUGUAGGCGGCUAGGUAAGUCGGAUGUGAAAGCCCCGGGCUCAACUCGGGAAGUGCACUCGAUACUGCUUAGCUCGAGUACCGGAGAGGUUGGUGGAAUUCUCGGUGUAGAGGUGAAAUUCGUAGAUAUCGAGAGGAACACCGGUGGCGAAGGCGGCCAACUGGACGAGUACUGACGCUGAGGCGCGAAAGCUAGGGGAGCAAACAGG
rnacentral:rRNA from 1 species